rnacentral:rRNA from 1 species
UAAUACAGAGGGUGCGAGCGUUAAUCGGAAUUACUGGGCGUAAAGGGUGCGUAGGUGGUUUAUUAAGUCAGAUGUGAAAUCCCCGGGCUUAACCUGGGAAUUGCAUAUGAUACUGGUGAACUAGAGUAUGGAAGAGGGAAGUGGAAUUUCCGGUGUAGCGGUGAAAUGCGUAGAUAUCGGAAGGAACAUCAGUGGCGAAGGCGGCUUCCUGGUCCAUAACUGACACUGAGGCACGAAAGCGUGGGGAGCAAACAGG